UACGGAGGGGGCUAGCGUUGUUCGGAAUUACUGGGCGUAAAGCGUGCGUAGACGGUUGCGUAAGUCAGAUGUGAAAGCCCCGGGCUCAACCUGGGAAUUGCAUUUGAGACUGCGUAGCUAGGGUGCGGAAGAGGGAAGCGGAAUUUCCGGUGUAGCGGUGAAAUGCGUAGAUAUCGGAAGGAACACCAGUGGCGAAAGCGGCUUCCUGGUCCAGCACCGACGUUCAGGCACGAAAGCGUGGGGAGCAAACAGG
rnacentral:rRNA from 1 species